AUUGAACGCUGGCGGAAUGCUUUACACAUGCAAGUCGAACGGUAGAGGGGGCAACCCCUUGAGAGUGGCGAACGGGUGAGUAAUAUAUCGGAACGUGCCCAGUCGUGGGGAUAACGUAGCGAAAGUUACGCUAAUACCGCAUACGAUCUACGGAUGAAAGCGGGGGACUCGCAAGAGCCUCGCGCGAUUGGAGCGGCCGAUAUCAGAUUAGGUAGUUGGUGGGGUAAAGGCUCACCAAGCCAACGAUCUGUAGCUGGUCUGAGAGGACGACCAGCCACACUGGAACUGAGACACGGUCCAGACUCCUACGGGAGGCAGCAGUGGGGAAUUUUGGACAAUGGACGCAAGUCUGAUCCAGCCAUUCCGCGUGCAGGAUGAAGGCCCUCGGGUUGUAAACUGCUUUUGUACGGAACGAAAGGUUUCUAUUAAUACUAGGAGCUCAUGACGGUACCGUAAGAAUAAGCACCGGCUAACUACGUAGCCAGCAGCCGCGGUAAAGUGACUAC
rnacentral:rRNA from 1 species